rnacentral:rRNA from 1 species
GACGUAGGGCGCGAGCGUUGUCCGGAUUUAUUGGGCGUAAAGAGCUCGUAGGCGGCUUGUCGCGUCGACUGUGAAAACCCGUGGCUCAACCAUGUGGUCUGCAGUCGAUACGGGCAGGCUAGAAUUCGGUAGGGGAGACUGGAAUUCCUGGUGUAGCGGUGAAAUGCGCAGAUAUCAGGAGGAACACCGGUGGCGAAGGCGGCUUGCUGGGCUCGGUCUGACGCUGAGGCGCGAAAGCGUGGGGAGCGAACAGG